rnacentral:rRNA from 1 species
UACGGAGGGGGCUAGCGUUGUUCGGAAUUACUGGGCGUAAAGCGCACGUAGGCGGCUUUGUAAGUUAGAGGUGAAAGCCCGGGGCUCAACCCCGGAAUUGCCUUUAAGACUGCAUCGCUUGAAUUGUGGAGAGGUGAGUGGAAUUCCGAGUGUAGAGGUGAAAUUCGUAGAUAUUCGGAGGAACACCAGUGGCGAAGGCGGCUCACUGGUCCAUUACUGACGCUGAGGUGCGAAAGCGUGGAGAGCAAACAGG